ensembl:lncRNA
GCAUUAUCCUCACAUGAUAAGGUGUUUUGGACCUUUGAUUGUAUUAUGGACACUUAGGUUUGAGGCCAAACAUAGCUAUUUUAAGCAGAUUGCAAAGCAGACCAGUUGUUUUAAAAAUAUUCCGGUCACUCUUGCUUCAAGACACCAAUUUAUGAUUGCUUUUCACCUUCAGUCCUCCUCCUAUGGUAAACAAAGUCUUGAAGUGCCUAAUGCAUCUUUGUUUCCAGUUGAUCUUUUGAACCAAGACAUUGCUUUAGCUGUAAAAUCAAAAUACCCACACACAACAGAAGUACAUGUUGCAAAAGUAGCCUCCAUAUGUGGCAUAACGUACAAUGUGGGCAUGAUUGUUUUACAUGGAUCAGAAAGUGGCAUGCCAGAGUUUGCAGAAAUCCUUCAGUUGUGUAUCAUCAAUAAUCAGUUACACCUUAUUGUACGAUUGCUCUGUGGAUGGUACUUGGAGCAUUACCGAGCCUUUGACCUCACUACAUCCCCAACAAGACAAAUAAAGCUGUUACAGCUAAAAGAGCUGGCAGACCUUUAUCCACUUGCAGACUAUGCUGUUGGGUCGAGUCGAAUGGUGACCUUGAAAAGACAUGUCAUUAUUAAAGAUAAAGAAGAAUGAACCAGCCCUUUGUGCUAAAAGUCAUCCUGCUGGACAAUACCGCCCAAAGGCUGACUCUGCCUAAUGGAUUACCAGACACAGUUGAAGAACUUAUGGAAGAAGUCAUACGCCAAUGUGGACUUGCAUCGAAUAUCAGACUUCAAUUCAUGGACCCACUGUUUGGAAAUGAGUACAUGAAUCUUACAAACAUCAACGAACUCCAGGACAGAGGGACUAUUAGAGUGAUGAGUGAUGUGUCAGAAGAAUCAGACUCGGUGACCUUAGUACUUUCAGAUGUAUCAUCCAUAUCUUCAUUGCCUGUGACAGAAUCAUCGUCCUUAGCAUCCCUUCCUCUGUCAGAGUCAUCAUCACAACUUUCAUUUCCUCUGUCACAAUCAUCUCCAUUAGUUUCAAUACCUAUUUCAGAAGCAGCAACCUCUGCCCGAGCAGAUGAGACCUCUCUUUCCAGCUGUUUUACUGAGGACACAGACAUUCUUUCAUCGCCCCAGUCAGACCUUGGGGUUGGAAAAUCAUCCUGGCCACCCACAUUUAUUGUGCCAGUUUUUUCAUAUGACAGUGAGCUGAAACUUGAAAAAGGAAAUGCCAUGUACAAGGAAAAUGGAACUUUACUCCUGCC